GCAGUCGAGCGGACAGAUGGGAGCUUGCUCCCUGUAUGUUAGCGGCGGACGGGUGAGUAACACGUGGGUAACCUGCCUGUAAGACUGGGAUAACUCCGGGAAACCGGGGCUAAUACCGGAUGCUUGAUUGAACCGCAUGGUUCAAUUAUAAAAGGUGGCUUUUAGCUACCACUUACAAAUGGACCCCCGGCGCAUUACCUAGUUGGGGAGGUAACGGCUCACCAAGGCAACGAUGCGUAGCCAACCUGAAAGGGUGAUCGGCCACACUGGGACUGAAACACGGCCCAAACUCCUACGGGAGGCAGCAGUAGGGAAUCUUCCCCAAUGGACAAAAGUCUGACGGAACAACCCCCCGUGAGUGAUGAAGGUUUUCGGAUCGUAAAACUCUGUUGUUAGGGAAAAACAAGUACCGUUCGAAUAGGGCGGUACCUUGACGGUACCUAACCAAAAAGCCACGGCUAACUACGUGCCACCACCCGCGGUAAUACUUAGGUGGCAAGCGUUGUCCGAAAUUAUUGGGCGUAAAGCGCGCGCAGGCGGUUUCUUAAUCUCUGAUGUGAAAGCCCCCGGCUCAACCGGGGAGGGUCAUUGGGAAACUGGGGAACUUGAGUGCAAAAGAGGAGAGUGAACUUCCACGUGUAGCGGUGAAAUGCUUAAGAUGUGGAGAAACAGCAGUGGCGAA
rnacentral:rRNA from 1 species